rnacentral:rRNA from 1 species
AACGAACGCUGGCGGCAGGCUUAACACAUGCAAGUCGAACGCCCCGCAAGGGGAGUGGCAGACGGGUGAGUAACGCGUGGGAAUCUACCCUGAACUGCGGGAUAGCUCCGGGAAACUGGAAUUAAUACCGCAUGUGCCCUGAGGGGCAAAGAUUUAUCGGUUCAGGAUGAGCCCGCGUCCGAUUAGCUAGUUGGUGGGGUAAAGGCCUACCAAGGCGACGAUCGGUAGCUGGUCUAAGAGGAUGAUCAGCCACAUUGGGACUGAGACACGGCCCAAACUCCUACGGGAGGCAGCAGUGGGGAAUAUUGGACAAUGGGCGCAAGCCUGAUCCAGCCAUGCCGCGUGAGUGAUGAAGGCCAUAGGGUUGUAAAGCUCUUUCACCGGGGACGAUAAUGACGGUACCCGGAGAAGAAGCCCGGCUAACUUCGUG